CUCUUAUGAAAAAUGGUUCUUCAAAGGUUCUGAAAUGAUGGUAAAGGUUCUAUAUAGAACCAUAGCUUACUGAAGAACCCUUUUUUGCUGAAAUGGUUCUUUGUCUUGGCAAAAGGGUUCUUUUUUCCCUCCUUUUUUGAUUUUAAAUUUAGUCAGUUAUUUUCAAGCUGCCUCUUGAUUAUUUUCACCUGUAAAAGCCCUGAAUCAUCAGUCCUGCUGAACUGCCUGCAGACUAACAUCACAAACAGGUAAGAGAGGAAAAUAAUCAUCAUUUACUGUUAAAAACAUUUUGAAAAUUGAAGUUUUGUGUGUUCUUAUUGUAAUUUAUUUAUUUUAUAACAGGUAAGCUUUAUACUGAAAGCUUCAUUCCCUUUAAAGCAGAGUUUUUAUAUUUGAGGUAAUCUUGCUGGGAGUGAAGGCAGUGCGUAUGAUCGCUUGAUAUGAGACACACAUACUGUAUUUAAAGGUCAACUUUAUACGUAAAAUUCAUU